CGCGGGCCUUGUAGCCAUUUUAGGAGGAAACGGGGAUCGUCCGCUCGGGGUGCGGCUUCAAUUUCAACAACUUUAUUGGAGGCUCGGUCCGCAGGACAGCUAUAGCGCCGGCGGCCGGAGGAGGAGGAAGCGCAUCGCCGGAGGUGGCCCCCGACGCGAGCUGCAGUCAUGGGAAACACCACCAGCGACCGGGUGUCCGGGGAGCGCCACGGCGCCAAGGCUGCGCGCGCUGAGGGCGCCGGCGGCCACGGCCCGGGCAAGGAGCACAAGAUCAUGGUGGGGAGCACGGACGACCCCAGCGUCUUCAGCCUGCCCGACUCCAAGCUCCCUGGGGACAAAGAGUUUGUAUCAUGGCAGCAGGAUUUGGAGGACUCCAUAAAGCCCACACAGCAGGCCCGGCCCACUGUUAUCCGCUGGUCUGAAGGAGGCAAGGAGGUCUUCAUCUCUGGGUCCUUCAACAAUUGGAGCACCAAGAUUCCACUGAUUAAGAGCCAUAAUGACUUUGUUGCCAUCCUGGACCUCCCUGAGGGAGAGCACCAAUACAAAUUCUUUGUGGAUGGACAGUGGGUUCAUGAUCCAUCAGAGCCUGUGGUUACCAGUCAGCUUGGCACAAUUAACAAUUUGAUCCAUGUCAAGAAAUCCGAUUUUGAGGUGUUUGAUGCUUUAAAGCUAGACUCCAUGGAAAGCUCGGAGACAUCUUGUAGAGACCUGUCCAGCUCACCUCCAGGGCCUUAUGGUCAAGAAAUGUAUGUGUUUCGAUCUGAGGAGAGAUUCAAGUCCCCACCAAUCCUUCCUCCUCACCUACUCCAAGUUAUUCUUAACAAGGACACUAAUAUUUCUUGUGACCCAGCCUUACUCCCCGAGCCCAACCACGUUAUGCUGAACCAUCUCUAUGCAUUGUCCAUUAAGAUAAAGAAACUAAGGCUCAGAGAAGGUCAAAUUGCCAGACAGUGUGAUGGUUCUUAGUGCGACCCAUCGCUACAAGAAGAAAUAUGUCACCACUCUGUUGUACAAGCCCAUCUGAAGGAAUCCCUUCUUAGCUCCAAGGAUUGAAGAGAAGCAUCUCCCUUGCCUUUCUGGACUGAACCAGUCUUCUUGAGACUGGAAGGCUGAUUUGCUUUGAGGCUAAUAUGUGUGUUUCAGAGCCUCUGAGUAGGAUGCUCUGCUUUUGCAUUUGAUUGCAGAUGAGAGCUUUAUGAGUUCAUGGAAUUUAUUUUAAGAAAAAAAAAUAUAUACACAUAGGAGAGGAAGGUAAAUGGAAGCUUCCCAGCCCCAGCUAGAUGUAUUCUGUCUGCCUGUGGCUGUUCACUAAGACCUGUUUGGAGUAGCUGCAGGAAUAGAUAUACAGGAAGCAUUUUUCCUAAAAUGAAAGAACAAAAGACUCGUAGGAGCCUUGUUGGGCGGAGAUUCUAUCACUGCUCCCUUGGCUGUCCAAGGGAUGACUUGUGUCAGACUGCUGCCCUACUUCAGCUGCCUCACGUGUGGGCGGCUUUUCUUGCAUGGGUUCUCCGUCUUUCCAGAGUAUGUAGCACAGUUUUUGUUUUUUUGUAUGAUACCAGAUGCCCCACAAGAAUGCUUUUUUCUCUCAUUUCACACACUUCCUUGAAUAGCCUCCUUCAGAUCAUAUAUUUGACCCUUCUCUAACAUAAAACUAAUUGGGUAAGUGACACCUUUGAAAAGUUACAUGGGACCUGACCCGCCUAAGAGACUAGGACUGCCAGGUUGUUUCCUUUUGGGCCCAGCACAGGCCAGGGCCACUUUGUUACUGCUCAUUUUAACUUUUGCUAAAGAAAAUAGGUCUCAGCAUUAUUAAAAAGGCAGAUGCUGAAGACCCUUUUUUAUUUCAGUGUGGUGCCAAGGCUUAGGCUGUAUUGAUAGGCUUUCCUACUUGGCCUGGCCCUGCUUCCAUCUUUUCUCUCUCAGAGGAGACAGCUCUGAAGAUAACAGUGGAACCAGGGAAAACUUUCAUGUUUUGCAUCAGUAAAAGGUUUUUACGUACCUACCUGCAUUUUUCUUUAAUUAAAAUUAAAUGCCUUUCCAUGGGUCUUAAGAGACUGCAUUAGAGAACUUCAGGCUCUUGAUAAAUGGUUCUUAAGAUUUUCUUCUCUAGUUUAGCCCUCAACCUAGCAUUGUCAUUGCCAACCCCAUGAUCACUGUUACACUAAACACUAGUGCUCUAGUACAAGCUCAUUUGAUGUACCUAAAGGGUUCCCUUACCUUAAAGAUUUAUUAAGCCAAGAAGCAAGAAAGUAUUCUUGGUUUGUCCAACCCUAAAAAUAGGGACCAUUAUUCUUUGCACUAAAUGUUAGCAAGAUAGUUUUGUUUUUCUGCCUCUACUUUUAAAAAAUAGUUGAUGAUGAAAUAGGGUCACUGAUUUCAAUUUUGGACUGACAAGUAGCUAUUCAAUCCACUUCUGGAGUUAAGAGACAAAACAUUUUUUUCCAGGUAUCUGUGGCUCUUCCGUUUUCUAGAUACCAAGUCAAACAUUGAACACUGAAAGAGGCCAGACUAUUGAUGAUUGAGAAACUCUGACUGCUCAGAUGAGUCCAGUCCUCACUGAAAGGACACCUACAGGUAGACUUUACCAGCAUCUCAAGUCAGACAGUACCUGACACACAGACAGGUGAGUCACCUUAUUGGUGUGGAGCAUUUCCACACCAUGAGGAUUAGCUUGCUUUAAACUUAAGAGUUGGAGGGGAUUUAACCACUGUGGGUAAUUCCCCUGAAGGGCAUUCAUAGCCUCAGUGGCAUUUCAGACAUAUUUUUAAACAUACACUUAUAUAUGGUAGAGACUCCUGGAGAAGUUUCUGAGGAUCCUGUAACCCAAGCCCACUCAUUUUCCUUCAGUUAGUUCUAGUCUUUUGUAGAUUUAAUGGAUCUGAGAUAACCCUUUGAAAAGUGUCAAUACUCCAUGUAUGCUGCUAAUAUGAAGUUAAGUUUAAAAAGAAGUGAUGCCUCCAGACUAGGUUUAUAUCAAUUGUCUCCUAGACAAUUAGUAUGUCUAGGAGACAUACUAAUAAUAGAAUUCCCUGCUUUUAACUGGGGAAAUAGGGCUUUUAAAUUUUUGACCUCAACUAAAAAUGAUAUGCAAUAGUCUGUGUUUGUAUGUGUUUGAAAUACAUUCUACUCUCAAGAGAUUUCUACAUCCUCAUGUUCUAGUGAUUUGGGGCAUGAGCUUAACAGCAGAUACACAGUUCAUUUCUGUAUUCUUCUGAUUCAUCCUUAAAGCAAGUUCUUACUGUCUUCUAGCAGGGGUUGUUGGCUCCAGUUACCUGUGGAAUGGAGGACCUCGGAGGGGUAGCAGUUGGGGUCAAAAUUCUAUGGAUCUAAGUUUUUGUCUCUCCUCAAGUGCCACUCACAAUUGGAAAUUGAAAGAUUGUGAUUUCUGUAACAAACCCAAACUUUUGGAGUAAAAACCAAACCUUUUUUAAAUUAUAAGAAGAAAGAAGGAAGAAAAAAUAUAAAAACUCAAGUCUGUUACUUUGAAGACUCCAUUUUUAAGCAAUGGAAUCCCUCUAGGAUUCUGAUUUGGGCUUUGUUUUGAUUUGCUUCUGUAAUUGUGCUCUAAAGUGAAAAAAAAUUAAUUUUUUUACUAGUUCCAACAUUAGUUGGUGUUAACUUGAAUUAAUUGUAUGUAGCCCAGUAAUUUUGCAGGGGGAUCAGUGUGAAAUACUAACACUCUGUAGGCAUCAGGUUAAAUUAUACCUAUGAAAGUACUGUGUUAGGUAUUGGUUAUCUUAGUUCUUUUCUAUUUCUCUCCACAGAACACGUAUUCUAUCCGGCUUGUGGUUUUAGGACAGCCAAAGCUCACUGUUGUUUAUUCUGCACUGGGUCCCUUAUGUGAAACUUAUUUGAAUUUUGGUAAAUUGGAAGAUGUUGGUUGGUGUUACACUGAAGCUUUUUGAAGGAGUGGAGCUCUGUAUCUUAUCAGGAAGCGUAGAUAAGACUAUAAUUUGAAGGGAAGUGACUAUGUGUAACUCUUAUUUUAAAUGGUGCUUUAUGUAACGUUCAGUGCUAAAGUACAGAGCUGUUUUUCAGUAUUUCACAAAGAAGUAGCAUCCAAGCAUGAAUUUUAAUGCUUUUCUCUAAAUGUAAUUUGUCACUGGACUCUGACAUGCCUAAAAGUGACAUGGUGUAACACAUACAGAAAUGAUGUGGGUGUUUCCAUAAAACUGUUUAAUAAAAGUA